rnacentral:rRNA from 1 species
GGAACAACAGUUGGAAACGGCUGCUAAUACCUCAUACUCCUAUUUGACAUAAGUUAAAUAGGGAAAGUCUUUUCGGUGUAGGAUGAGACUAUAUCGUAUCAGCUAGUUGGUAAGGUAAUGGCUUACCAAGGCUAUGACGCGUAACUGGUCUGAGAGGAUGAUCAGUCACAUUGGAACUGAGACACGGUCCAA